UACGUAGGGGGCGAGCGUUGUCCGGAUUUAUUGGGCGUAAAGAGCGUGUAGGCGGCCAUGUAGGUCCGUUGUGAAAACUCGAGGCUCAACCUCGAGACGCCGAUGGAAACCAUGUGGCUAGAGUCCGGAAGAGGAGAGUGGAAUUCCUGGUGUAGCGGUGAAAUGCGCAGAUAUCAGGAAGAACACCCGUGGCUAAGGCGGCUCUCUAGUACGGUACUGACGCUGAGACGCGAAAGCGUGGGAGCGAACAGG
rnacentral:rRNA from 1 species